rnacentral:rRNA from 1 species
GACGAACCGUGCGAACGUUGUUCGGAAUCACUGGGCUUAAAGGGCGCGUAGGCGGGCUAUCAAGUCCGGGGUGAAAUCCUCCCGCUCAACGGGAGAACUGCCUCGGAUACUGAUGGUCUCGAGGGGGAUAGGGGCACACGGAACUGUGGGUGGAGCGGUGAAAUGCGUUGAUAUCCAUAGGAACUCCGGUGGCGAAAGCGGUGUGCUGGAUCCCUUCUGACGCUGAGGCGCGAAAGCCAGGGGAGCGAACGGG